GGAUUCAGACCGAGUUUGCAAAAAGGAAAAAUUCGAGUGUAUCUUCCAAUCAGCCACCAAAAAGGGGCAAAGACUCAUCUGCUUCAGGGAGCACUACUUCUGUUUCAGUGACAUCUCCUCGACCUCUAUUUUCAUAGACACAGCAGAGGCCUCAAAGAUUCAGUAGAUUUGUGAUGACUACUUCUUGAAAAAGUUAUGGAGGUUUUGAUAGAUGCAGGAGAUGUGGGAAGAAUCAUGUUGGGCCGUGUAGGGGACAGUACGAUGUUAUCAUUGUGAUCAGCCGGGCCACAUUAAGAGUGCGUGCCCACAGCUAAGACGGGUUAUUGCAACUGCUCCAUCUCCACCAACUUGUACGGAUAUGCAGAGGAGAGAUCCUUCUAGGUUACUACCGAGGCAGGGAGUGGCCAUACAGUCUGGUGUAGAGAGUAACACCCUGGCAUAUCCACCUUCGAGAAAAUAGACUCGUACUUCGACAAGAGUUUUCACUAUGACGGAAUAUGAGGCACAAGUUUGACCUGAAGCAGUGACAGGUGGUGAAUCCUCCGAUAAAGGUAAGGAAAUAGUACUCGAGGAUCGGUAGUCAGAGUACUCUAGAAAUUCGACUCCCGAAAUAGUUCAGAUUAGACUGUAGAUAGCUGAGUUCAUCGAGGACUACCCUUGGAUUUGCAUUCCUUCAAACUGUAAGUUCACAGUCCUCUUUACUUUUGGUUAUUCGGGGGCCCACUGGUCAUUGUAAAUUAAAUUAAAUGCUCUGGU